UACGGGGGGAGCAAGCGUUGUUCGGAUUUACUGGGCGUAAAGGGCGCGUAGGCGGCCUCUGCAAGUCGACUGUGAAAUCUCCGGGCUUAACCCGGAAAGGUCAGCCGAUACUGCAGGGCUAGAGUGCAGAAGGGGCAACUGGAAUUCUCGGUGUAGCGGUGAAAUGCGUAGAUAUCUGGAGGAACACCGGUGGCGAAGGCGGCAUCCUGGGCCGGUAUUGACGCUGAGGAGCGAAAGCCAGGGGAGCAAAGCGGG
rnacentral:rRNA from 1 species